UCUCUCAACGAACAGGUCCUUACGGAGAGGCACUCGAGAAACCGCUCGAGCCCCCUAAAGUAUCACCAGUCCAACAUCAUAAUCAAGAUAUCAUCAACGUAUCAUAAAUGUUCUCAUCAUGUUCAUUGAUUAAAGUAAAGCAGUAGCAUAAUACUAAUCAUAGUAACUAAUUCCCAAAGGGUAAACAAGGACAGGAAAACAGAAUGCUAGUCAAUCCUUAGGUUGAUCAUGGUAUGCGGGUUGAUGAAUUAUAAAGUAAAUGGGACAUAAUAGGUCAGAGGACACUUGCCUUCACCAAACAGAUGCUCAGGGUCUUCAGCCUUGUAGAACUCGAAGAGUUCGACCUCUUGGUCGCCGAAGCUUGACUGUCGAUUCCUCGAAGCUCGGAAAUGGAUCGCAGCUAAUCGCAACGCGAGGCGAAGACGAACAAGCACGAGCAAACAAUCAUAUAUAUAUAAGAACAUUACACCAUUGAAAUAGAAACAUAAUAAAAUACACAAAACGAAAUAGAGCUCGCUACUAUGGUCACGCAAGGGAAAGAAACGCGAUAGUUGGAGCUACGGUCGAGAAGUUAUAACGUUUACGCUACGCAAAUAAUAGUUAGGACAUUUAAUUCGACAUUAUCAAAUAUAAAUUAUAUCUAAUAUUUAGUUCGAUUAAUCUGCUACACUAACAAAUGUUGGUUAAAUAAGUAAUUUAAUUAAAACGAGAGAUACUAAGCGAGAUGAAUUUACGAUGCACGAAACAGCACGACCGCACGCGACCUAACGCGCACCACUCGUGGCACGCACAGACAACGUGACGACGGUGAACCUAACACGACAGCGUGCAAAUGAUGCACGAACACACGCGACAUAACACGCUGACAACACACAAAACAGUGUGCGCGAACGACGCAAAUGACGCGCGAAUCAGCACGCCACCAGCAGCACAUCACGCGCGAAUAGCGCGCAGACAGUGCGACGACGCGCAAUGAUCGCUAACAAAUAACACGAUUACACUAAACAAGUAUUGUUAGAACAUUAGUUCGGCAUAAUUAUAUUGAUUGACAUUUAUCAAAUGUAAAUUAACAACUACAAUUCAGUUUUGACUAAAUUACUGUUUUAAUGGUGGACGAUUAAACCAAUAAUUAAUUAACUGACCAGAGUGAUUAUAAGUGAACGAUUAUAAUGAAACGAUUAACUAAUAUGCGCGGACGGCGUGCGAUACACGCGAACGACACACGAUAUUGUGCGCGACACGCGAAAACAGCGUGCGCGACACACGCGAAUGGUGCGUGACGACGCGCGACAAAUGCGACUUAGCGCCCAGACGACGCGUGUGAAAAAGCACACACAACAUCGCACGAACUACACGUAAAAUAACGCGACGCACGGAAGGCACGUGAUUCAGCGCGCGGCAACACCCGAGAAUCGCUAUCAGAUAUCGUGUUUUAUACUAAAUAAGCAUUAAUUCAAAAACAUUUGUGUAGAUAUAUCCUAUUAACAGAUAUAAACAAAGCGUGUCUAAAACUAUAAAUUGGUUUAAGUAAACUACUACUUUAAUAACUCGGAUAAAUAAAUAAUCAACUAAUUAAUUAGAACACGCCUCGCGACGAAAUAAUGUUACUAACAAGUUGGCGACGAGGUUACAAAGUUAAAGUGACUGAAACGAAUAGAAACGGGUUUAUGGCGCAUUAUAUAUGGAAUAGCUAGCAAUUCAUAGCUAAUAAACAAUAUUAUUAAAGCGCGUGAAUCGUGACUCACGCGAACGACGGUACGUGAACAGCACGCACGAACGUCGUGUGGACACACACGACACGCGAGCAUUGCAGAUAUCGCGUCUAUACUAAGUAAGUACUUAUUCAAAAACAUUUGAAUUGAUAUAAUAAUAUUAACAUGUAUUUAAAAUCGCAAAGUAAUAGUAUAGAUUAAUUUUAAUUGCAACACUACUUUAAUAAUCAUCAAAUAGACAAUAGAUUAAAUAACUAAUUAGAAUAUGCGAUAUGACAAAAUAAUAUUUUAAUACGCAGACGACGUUGUUAUGGAAUUAGCAUAACUAGAAUGGUCCAAAACGUAUUUAUAACGCAACAUAUAUUGAAUAAAUAACAAAUCACGGCUUUACAGCGACAUGGCGUGAUUCUAUUGAUUGGAAACUUGUCACACGAUGGGCCACACGAGGAGCUGCCACAGGAAAUCUGGAAUUCAUUAUGAGGGGCGGUUGUUUCAUGCAGGAAAUAGUGGAGGCUAUGACUCACGCCAUGCUUGUGGGGCCCAUUCAAUUCCAUGCGUGAGACGAGCGCACACUGUACAGCCGUGGUCGCAUGGGGGCAUGCAGUGGGGUGGUUUUCCUCUCUCUUCUAAUGCACGAACAUGCAAAGCAGCGGGUCGAGCAGCAGUUUCACCGCUGGCUGAGGGAAGACACACCGACGACGUCACAUGGCCUAGGUGAAGCAGCGUCGGCUGGGGUGGAGCUCGUCGGCCAAGGGCACGUGGGACCAGGACUUUGACGCAGGCAGGGGGCGAGGCUCGCCGGCCGGAACGCAGCCAGCCAUAGCGACUCGAUAGCCACAAGCAAAGCGGGGCUAGAUGUACGGCUGCGCGUCAUGGCCGGUUGCAUGGCAGACGGCGGGUCAGCGGCUCACCAUGGCAAGACGCUUGCGACGAACUGCGAGAGAGGGGAGAGGUGAAGGGGUGGGUUCACCUGCGCAACUGCGGAUUUGACGUGCGAGACAUGGCUGUGCGGUCGCCGAGCACGCGACAUCAGCGCGAGGCUGAGCUCCCGUCCGACAGCGGCGACUGUGGUUGGCGCGGGACCUUCAUGCCAGAGGGGGACGUGCACUAGCCAAGGGCACAGUGAGAGCUGUGCACCGGGGCUUGCCCGACCGCCGGGGACGCGCACUUUCUAGACACGAAGGAGCUCGCCGGGAGCAGACAAACUGCUCGGCAGGGGACAGAGAGGGGAGGGAUGAGGUGGGGAAGGGAAAGCAGACUCACCACGACGGAGUCCGACGGCGAGUACCGAACUAGCGAUUCGGCGCGGACGGCGAUCUUGGCGACUCCUGCUGCGCGGCGACGAGCGAGAGAGAACUGGGUAAGAGAAAUUGGCAUGAGAGAAACCGACGGGGAGGAAAUGGGGAUGAGAGACGCAUGGCGGCGGUGUUGGGCAACUGCCCACGCGCGCGGCAGGCACGGCAGGGCGGUUGGAGCUGGGCCGCGGGACAGGUGCAAGGUGGGUCGAGCUAGGCAAGUCGAGCAGGCCAGACAGGGUGGGCUUUUCCUUUUUCCUAUUUCUUUCUCUUUUCUUUAUUUAUUUUAUCUAUCAUUUGAAUUUAACGUCGAGCGCAAAAACAACUAAGCGAAUGCACAUCCAAUAAGUUCAUCAAUUAAAACAUAUUUUCAGCAUGAUACAUCAACAACAAUCCCUAUAGGGUUUUAUUAUCAACUAUGUUUGAAGUAACAUUCCCUAUUACUUGGGAAGAAAUGAAUAAAGGAGCGAAAAAAAGGAAAAAGAAGGUAACACCUGAAUUUGAUUGAUAUAUGAAAAAAAAAUUAUACCCCAAAUUCAGGGUGUUACAAAUCUAACCCCCUUAACAGAAUCUCGCCCUCGAGAUUCAAGAAGAGGCUAGCAAGAAAACGAGAUUGGUUUAUUAGUCUUUCAUAGCUUCUUCUAACCCAGCUUUGACUUUGUCAACUUUAACUUGCGAACUAGUUGCUUUGACCUUCAGGUGCUUGAGACCGAUCGAUGCAAUUCUUGAGGAUCCCUUGGACCUGUGGGUUAGGACCCACACAUGCUUCCGCUGCUUCACUUUGAUCUUGUUUGUUGAUGUUGAUCACAUUGUCUUCAUUGGGGUUUGUGGCUAACCCCCUUAACAGAAGCGUUGAUACGAACUUAGGGAAGAUGUAGCCGACUCCGAUCUUGACGAAUUAAGAGAGGUUGGAGGUUGCCAACUGGACAGGUGCAAGAGGGAGGGUAUAGAUAGAAAAGGUAAGCAUAGAUGGAUUAAAAAGAGAAAAGUGAGAGCACCCAGCUACCUAACUCUAUGGCACUCAGCUAGUAAACUAAUGUCAUUGUGGGCCAAGGGCCACAACACAUCAACACUCAUCACAAAGAAGCAAAUCAGUCAUCACACAAAAACAAACAGCACAAGCAUACAACAGCAAACAUUCCGUUGCUACACAUUCCUUCUAAUUAAAUGGUGGUAUUUCUUGAAAAGGGAAUAACUACUCUCUAAGGUUGUUGAAGGACAAGGAGAAGAACAAGACAUGCAGAACAGGGACACGAGCACCAUAAAGAAUGGAGUUAAAGCAAGCAUUGUAAGCGAUCAACAAAAGGAUACGACCAAGGGCAUAAUGGGUAGAACAACACUCUCGGGUUGAGAUAGAAAAGGGGAGAUUUCCAAAAGCAGGCCUUAGAUAGGUAUCAAGUCAAGGUCUAGUGAUUACAAGGGUAAGGGGUAUAUCAAACAAACGCUAUGAUUGGCAACGCGGUAAAGGAAAAGGGAAUGACCAAGAGCGGGUAGGUAAGACAACACUCUUGAACUGGAACGAGGGAGGGGCUUUAAAAUGCAGGGACGAGAUAAGCAUCAAGGUAAAGAUCAAGGGAUGACAAGGGUUAAGGUGAUAACGGACAAACACCCAACCAAAAAUUAAUUUUAGACCAAAACUUGCAAGGUGUCAAGAAGGGGGAGCAGUCAAUGAUGAAUAGGUGAGGCAUUAUCCUCAAACACGGAUGGAAAAGAGGAGGCUUCAAAGGAUAUGUUCGAGAUAAGUAGGAGGGUAAGGACAUAGAUAUCACGAGGGUUUCAAAGGUAAUAACGGACAAAGAUGUAGGAUAGGAGGUAAAUAAGCAUAAGACAAAAGAUAUUAGUACCGUAAAGGAUGGAGUUAAGAUAUGACCUGCAAAUGAAAAAAAAUGAGCGGGUACGUCCUAGGGUCAGAUAGGUAAACUGCCACUCUCAAAUUGAGGUGAAAGAGAGGAGAUUUUUUUAAGAGCAAGAAUAGAGAUAAGUGUCAAGGCAAGACCGAUAGAUGACAAGGUAAUGGUGAUAGCAAAUAAAACACACAGCAAAGGAUGGAAUUAAGACAAGACUUGUUAGGCGACAAUAAUUGAAAAGAAAUCAAUGGAGAGAUGGGUAACUCACAGCUCUCAAACUGGGUUGAAAGAAAGGAGAGACUUUUAAAGGAUAAGUUCAAAGUAAACAUCUAGGUGGAAGGCCUCAAUAUCACAAGGGUCAAAGGCGAUAAUAGACAAGGGCAUAAGGGAAAAGACGAAAGCACAGAACAGCCAGUGGUAUAAGUACAACAAGGAAUGGAGGUAUGUCAAGGCUUACGCGGUAAAGAAGAGGAUAUAGCCAAGGGUGAGAUAAGUAAAACAUAGCUCUCGAAUUGAGAUCGAAAAGAGGGGAUUUCAAUAAGCAGACCUAAGAUAAGUAUCAAGGCAAUAUCUGAUUACAAAGGUAAGGAUGAUAUCAAACAAAAGCUCAACCAAGGAUGAAGUUAAGGUGAGGCAAGACUGCAAAGCGACAAAGAGAAAGGAAACGAACAAGAGCGGGAUAGGGAAAACAACACUCUUGGAUUGAAAUGGAAUAAGUGAGGCUAAGAAAAUUAGGUAAACAUCAUGGUAAAUAUGGAGAGAGGUCAAGGGUCAAAGGUGAUAAUAGGCAAGGAUAUAAAGGAAGAGGUAAAUGUGCAUAAAAAACCCCAGGAAUCUAGGUACAACCAAGAAUAGAGUUAAGAUAAGUCUUGCAAGUGGUAAAGUAUAGGAUAUAUCCAUGAGGAAAGAGUCCCAAAAGACUAAAGGCUAUGAUCAGGGGGCAUCUACAAAGAUGUCGCAAGCACAAGAUGAGAUCAGGUCUAAUAGAUUGAGAGAAGUAUAGACCAUACUAGAAUAAAAUACUUUUUCGCAAGGGGGCAUAUAGGAGCACAACAUAGAAUUAGUCGAGGUGACUAAUAUUUUGAAGCAGAAUCAAGGAUGAGGUGAAGUAAUGAUCAAUAAGUCCUUAAAACGACCAAUGCUACUCUAGGCUAGCGGUCCUACAGUCAGCCUGGCUUUGAUACCACUUAUGUCACACCCGGUUUUGAAGGUAAACCGAAUGCGAACCAUGUACGUGCCAGGAUCAGUAAUUCACGUACACAGCGAUUACAUAAAUGACUCAUCAUAGCACAAUGCUUCGAAUUACAAUAAAGAGUAAGUAAUAUUAUUAUAGUCUAGAGCCAUUUACAUAAUAUAAAUCAAAGUACACAGAAUCGAAACGUAGCCAACGUAAACAACCCACCACAGGCAGCUGACUGGGGGAGGUCGCUAGCCUAAUCCUCGAACUCGCCGAAGCCCUGGAACUCCUGGAGAUCCGCCUUGACGCCUUCUUCUUUACCUGAGCAUAGAUUGCACCAAAGGCAACCUGGUAUUUUGUGAAAGCAAGGGUGAGUACACAUCAACGUACUCAGCAAAUGUCCCGUUUGGCUGAAGUGGACUAGCUUUAUGUGGGGUUAAGCUCAAGCAAUUGCUUUUAGUUGGUCAGGUAUUUAUUAUUAGUGGAAGCCAAGUUUUAUCAUAUAACCAACCCGUGAACCAUUUCCUCAUCGAGGAAACGUCAUUAUCAUCAUCGAACCAAAACCAUCAAUAGAACCAUUUUAUCUCAGAUCAUCUGUAUCUCGAACCAUCUGUAUCUCUAAUCAAAGAGGAUCCCAAGGCCGCUCAUAACCGUGAGCACGGCUGAUAUAUCAGUUUCACUACCCUCUGCAGAGGUCGCACACUUUACCCAUGAGCCGUGAUUCCCUCUCUAGCCUGGGCUUGCAAGACCCUUAUUCACUCCCAAGGUGAAUGGCCAGGGAUUCACUACGAAGCCUUUACAAAGAUUCCCUAGAGGUCAUAGAUGCCCGUUAGGUUUCUCCAGUUUGAUAAACACAGUACCUCUCCCCGCAGGAGGGUGACUAAAAAGACAAAACGAAAGAACCUCGGCACUCAGCCUCGGCAGAGCAAGCACUGUGCCUGGACCCCAUUGACGGCACGACGGCGAAGCAACUACACUUCUAGUUCCUCUAAUUAAUUAGCUAAGGGCACCCCAUUCCACCCUCAUGGUUGCACUGUUAUCCCGGGUGGUCUCUCAACGAACAGGUCCUUACGGAGAGGCACUCGAGAAACCGCUCGAGCCCCCUAAAGUAUCACCAGUCCAACAUCAUAAUCAAGAUAUCAUCAACGUAUCAUAAAUGUUCUCAUCAUGUUCAUUGAUUAAAGUAAAGCAGUAGCAUAAUACUAAUCAUAGUAACUAAUUCCCAAAGGGUAAACAAGGACAGGAAAACAGAAUGCUAGUCAAUCCUUAGGUUGAUCAUGGUAUGCGGGUUGAUGAAUUAUAAAGUAAAUGGGACAUAAUAGGUC
rnacentral:lncRNA from 1 species